rnacentral:rRNA from 1 species
AACGAACGCUGGCGGCAUGCCUAACACAUGCAAGUCGAACGAGACAUUCGGGUCUAGUGGCGCACGGGUGCGUAAGGGGUGGGAGCGUGCGCUUAGGUUCGGAAUAACUCCCCGUACGGGGGGCUAAUACCGGAUAAUGUCUUCGGACCAAAGAUUUAUCGCCUUUGGAUGGGCCCGCGUUGGAUUAGAUAGUUGGUAGGGUAAGAGCCUAGCAAGGCGACGAUCCAUGGCUGGUCUGAGAGGAUGAACAGCCACACUGGGACUGAGACACGGCCGAGACUCCUACUGGAGGCAGCAGUGGGGAAUAUUGGACAAUGGGCGAAAGCCGGAUCCAGCAAUGCCGGGUGAGUGAUGAAGGCCUUAGGGUUGUAAAGCUCUUUUACCCGGGAUGAUAAUGACAGUACCGGGAGAAUAAGCUCCGGCUAACUCCGUG